GCCUCCGUAGGCUAACGGAUAGACCAUCGGUCUUCGAAACCGAUUGUAGAGGUUCGAUUCCUCUCGGAGGCA
rnacentral:tRNA from 4 species